rnacentral:misc_RNA from 1 species
GAUGAAGAACGCAGCGAAAUGCGAUAAGUAAUGUGAAUUGCAGAAUUCAGUGAAUCAUCGAAUCUUUGAACGCACAUUGCGCCCGCCAGUAUUCUGGCGGGCAUGCCUGUUCGAGCGUCAUUUCAACCCUCGGGCCCCGCACUCGUGCGGGCUCCGGCGUUGGGGACCGGCCUCCGCAUCGGACGGCCGCCCCCGAAACCCAGUGGCGGUCCCGCCGCGGCCUUCUCUGCGUAGUAGCAUACACCUCGCACCGGAGAGCGGAGAGGCCACGCCGUGAAACUCCCCACCGAAAGCCUGGAAUGUUGACCUCGGAUCAGGUAGGAAUACCCGCUGAACUUAAGCAUAUCAAUAAGCGGAGGA